GGGGAUAACAGUUAGAAAUGACUGCUAAUACCGCAUAAGCGCACAGGACCGCAUGGUUCGGUGUGAAAAACUGAGGUGGUAUAGGAUGGACCCGCGUCUGAUUAGCUUGUUGGUGGGGUAACGGCUCACCAAGGCGACGAUCAGUAGCCGGCCUGAGAGGGCGACCGGCCACAUUGGGACUGAGACACGGCCCAAACUCCUACGGGAGGCAGCAGUGGGGAAUAUUGCACAAUGGGGGAAACCCUGAUGCAGCGACGCCGCGUGAGUGAAGAAGUAUUUCGGUAUGUAAAGCUCUAUCAGCAGGGAAGAAAAUGACGGUACCUGACUAAGAAGCCCCGGCUAACUACGUGCCAGCAGCCGCGGUAAUACGUAGGGGGCAAGCGUUAUCCGGAUUUACUGGGUGUAAAGGGAGCGUAGGUGGCAUGGUAAGCCAGAAGUGAAAACCCAGGGCUCAACCCUGUGGAUUGCUUUUGGAACUAUCAAGCUAGAGUGCUGGAGGGGUAAGCGGAAUUCCUAGUGUAGCGGUGAAAUGCGUAGAUAUUAGGAGGAACACCGGUGGCGAAGGCGGCUUACUGGACAGAAACUGACACUGAGGCUCGAAAGCGUGGGGAGCAAACAGGAUUAGAUACCCUGGUAGUCCACGCCGUAAACG
rnacentral:rRNA from 1 species